rnacentral:rRNA from 1 species
UACGAAGGGGGCUAGCGUUGUUCGGAAUUACUGGGCGUAAAGCGCACGUAGGCGGAUAUUUAAGUCAGGGGUGAAAUCCCAGAGCUCAACUCUGGAACUGCCUUUGAUACUGGGGUAUCUGGAGUAUGGAAGAGGUGAGUGGAAUUCCGAGUGUAGAGGUGAAAUUCGUAGAUAUUCGGAGGAACACCAGUGGCGAAGGCGGCUCACUGGUCCAUUACUGACGCUGAGGUGCGAAAGCGUGGGGAGCAAACAGG